rnacentral:rRNA from 1 species
AUUGAACGCUGGCGGCAGGCCUAACACAUGCAAGUCGAACGAGUGGCGGACGGGUGAGUAAUGUUUGGGAAUCUAGCCUAUGGAGGGGGAUAACUACGGGAAACUGUAGCUAAUACCGCGUACCAUAGGAUGAGCCCAGGUGGGAUUAGGUAGUUGGUGGGGUAAAGGCUCACCAAGCCGACGAUCCCUAGCUGGUCUGAGAGGAUGACCAGCCACACUGGGACUGAGACACGGCCCAGACUCCUACGUGAGGCAGCAGUGGGGAAUAUUGCGCAAUGGGGGCAACCUGACGCAGCCAUGCCGCGUGAAUGAAGAAGGCCUUCGGGUUGUAAAGUUCUUUCGGUGGCGAGGCGUUACCUACAGAAGAAGCACCGGCUAACUCCGUGCCAGCAGCCGCGGUAAUUC